rnacentral:lncRNA from 1 species
CCGUGAGCUAACACUUGCUGGAUGAUCUGAGCUAGAGCACUGAUUUAAUUCACAUUAUCAUACUAGCUAGUUGCGAGAACCCCUUAAUGGCUUCUAAUGACACCAGCGACAUGUGUCACACGUGAGCAAAAAGUGGGGAAUCGAAGCAGGUCGUUAUUGGAAUGUGAAUUCGAACCUCUCUGUCUGAUGGGUUGAGUAACAGGCCUCCUGAGCUCCGGGGAGCUGGACGAAACUCGUAAGUUUCUCGUUUCCUCUCCGAAAAAUACAAGCUGCAGCUUUAAUUUAGAUAAGUGUCUAACAUUUCCACCGUAAUCAACUACUUUUCCCAGCCUCUGCCUUUAACACAGUUUGUUUUAAUUUACUUGAUUAAGCACUUCAUUAAGGCGCCCCUGUGGAGUAGGUGGAGGGAUGGCUUUAUCGCUACCGUGAUUUACCUCUGUCUGAGCGGUACGGAGAGCGCGCGUGUGCUAAACGAGGUGUGAAGAACGCCAGCGUGAAUGAGGAAUGACACCGAGCAGCACACGCGAAGGGGAGAUGGCAGAUGACAUCGGCGCCGACGCCGCACGGUGCUGAAAGACAGAAGGCUGUGGGCGUUAUGAGAAAAGAACAAGAGCAAAAAGGCAGAAGAAAAGCUUUGUAUAUGACGUGACACGAUAUGUAACACGAGUCGGAAAUGAAGACAAAGUCUGUCACUAUUACUACACUGCCCUGCAGAUAAAAUACAAUGCGGCAGCAAUAUCUCUGUAAUAUGUGCACGAAACAAAGCAAUAAAAAUACAUAUUUCAUUAAAAUAAAUU